GGUCUUGACAUACCGAUGACAGGUCUAGAGAUAGAUUUUCCCUUUUAGGGCAUCGGAUACAGGUGGUGCAUGGUUGUCGUCAGCUCGUGUCGUGAGAUGUUGGGUUAAGUCCCGCAACGAGCGCAACCCCUAUUGUUAGUUGCCAUCAUUAAGUUGGGCACUCUAGCGAGACUGCCAGUAAUAAACUGGAGGAAGGUGGGGAUGACGUCAAAUCAUCAUGCCCCUUAUGACCUGGGCUACACACGUGCUACAAUGGGAAGUACAACGAGUUGCGAGGCGGUGACGCCAAGCUAAUCUCUUAAAGCUUCUCUCAGUUCGGAUUGUAGGCUGCAACUCGCCUACAUGAAGUCGGAAUCGCUAGUAAUCGCGGAUCAGCACGCCGCGGUGAAUACGUUCCCGGGCCUUGUACACACCGCCCGUCACACCACGAGAGUUUGUAACACCCGAAGUCGGUGAGGUAACCGUAAGGAGCCAACCGCCUAAGGUGGGAUAGAUGAUUGGGGUGAAGUCGUAACAAGGUAAGCGUAGAUGA
rnacentral:rRNA from 1 species